rnacentral:rRNA from 1 species
GUCUGCAGCCAUGCUACCCUGAACAAGCCUGCUCCCGUCUGGUCUUGGAAACUAAGCAGGAUCAGGCUUGAUUAGUACUUAGAGGGGAGACCACCUAGGAAGACCAGGUGCUGUAGGCA